rnacentral:rRNA from 1 species
GAUGAACGCUGGCGGCGUGCCUAACACAUGCAAGUCGAGCGAACGGACGAUAAGCUUUCUCCUCUACUGUUAGCGGCGGACGGAUGAGUAACACGUGGAUCACCUACCUAUAUGACUGGGAUAACUUCGUGAAACCAGUGCUAAUACCUGAUUAUAUUUUGAACCGCUUUGUUCAAAAGUUAAAGACGGUCUUGCUGUCACUUAUAGAUGGUUCCGCGAUGCAUUAGCUAGUUGGUAAGGUAACGGCUUACCAAGGCAACGAUGCAUAGCAGAGCUGAGAGGAUGAUAGGCCACACUGGAACGGAGACACGGUCCAGACUACUACGGGAGGCAGCAGUGGGGAAUCUUACACAAUGGGCGAAAGCCUGACGGAGCAACGCCGCGUGAGUGAUGAAGGGCUUCGGAUAGUAAAACUCUGUUGUUAGGGAAGAACAGAAGUAUGAGGAACGGUGCAUGUCUUGACGGUACCUAAUGAAAAAGCAACGGCUAACUACGUG